rnacentral:rRNA from 1 species
UUGCGGGGAAGUCCUAAAGCCUCGGGGUACUAACCCACUGCAGGGAUGCAGUGGGGGCCUGUGUUAAUCGCACGGGGUACAGUAACAACCCCCGGGGAUCUGGUGCUCGGUGCCGGAAUGGACGAUCCGCAGCGAAGCCCCUAGGCCAGGGGAACGUUCACAGACUAAGUGGUUGUGGGUAGGAGCUGCUCCUGCUUAAGAUAUAGUCGGGCCGGCGCGGAAACGCGCUGGGGACUCGCAAGACGUAAACCGCUCCGUAGGUGAACCUGCGGAGGGAUC